rnacentral:rRNA from 1 species
CCUACGGGGUGCACCAGUGGGGAAUAUUGCACAAUGGGCGCAAGCCUGAUGCAGCCAUGCCGCGUGUAUGAAGAAGGCCUUCGGGUUGUAUAGUACUUUCAGCGGGGAGGAAGGCGAAAAGGUUAAUAACCUUGUCGAUUGUCGUUACCCGCAGAAGAAGCACCGGCUAACUCCGUGCCAGCAGCCGCGGUAAUACGGAGGGUGCAAGCGUUAAUCGGAAUUACUGGGCGUAAAGCGCACGCAGGCGGUCUGUCCAGUCGGAUGUGAAAUCCCCGGGCUCAACCUGGGAACUGCAUUCGAAACUGGCAGGCUGGAGUCUUGUAGAGGGGGGUAGAAUUCCAGGUGUAGCGGUGAAAUGCGUAGAGAUCUGGAGGAAUACCGGUGGCGAAGGCGGCCCCCUGAACAAAGACUGACGCUCAGGUGCGAAAGCGUGGGGAGCAAACAGGAUUAGAUACCCCCGUAGUC